GAUGAACGCUGGCGGCGUGCCUAAUACAUGCAAGUCGAGCGAACAGACGAGGAGCUUGCUCCUCUGACGUUAGCGGCGGACGGGUGAGUAACACGUGGAUAACCUACCUAUAAGACUGGGAUAACUUCGGGAAACCGGAGCUAAUACCGGAUAAUAUAUUGAACCGCAUGGUUCAAUAGUGAAUGACGGUUUUGCUGUCACUUAUAGAUGGAUCCGCGCCGCAUUAGCUAGUUGGUAAGGUAACGGCUUACCAAGGCAACGAUGCGUAGCCGACCUGAGAGGGUGAUCGGCCACACUGGAACUGAGACACGGUCCAGACUCCUACGGGAGGCAGCAGUAGGGAAUCUUCCGCAAUGGGCGCAAGCCUGACGGAGCAACGCCGCGUGAGUGAUGAAGGUCUUCGGAUCGUAAAACUCUGUUAUUAGGGAAGAACAAAUGUGUAAGUAACUAUGCACGUCUUGACGGUACCUAAUCAGAAAGCCACGGCUAACUACGUG
rnacentral:rRNA from 1 species